rnacentral:rRNA from 1 species
GACUGACCGAUAGUGAACCAGUACCGUGAGGGAAAGGCGAAAAGAACCCCGGCGAGGGGAGUGAAAAAGAACCUGAAACCGUGUACGUACAAGCAGUGGGAGCACCUUCGGGUGUGACUGCGUACCUUUUGUAUAAUGGGUCAGCGACUUAUAUUCUGUAGCAAGGUUAACCGUAUAGGGGAGCCGCAGGGAAACCGAGUCUUAACUGGGCGUUAAGUUGCAGGGUAUAGACCCGAAACCCGGUGAUCUAGCCAUGGGCAGGUUGAAGGUUGGGUAACACUAACUGGAGGACCGAACCGACUAAUGUUGAAAAAUUAGCGGAUGACUUGUGGCUGGGGGUGAAAGGCCAAUCAAACCGGGAGAUAGCUGGUUCUCCCCGAAAGCU